rnacentral:rRNA from 1 species
GACGAACGCUGGCGGCGUGCCUAAUACAUGCAAGUCGAACGCUGAAGGAGGAGCUUGCUUCUCCGGAUGAGUUGCGAACGGGUGAGUAACGCGUAGGUAACCUGCCUGGUAGCGGGGGAUAACUAUUGGAAACGAUAGCUAAUACCGCAUAACAGUAGAUAUUGCAUGAUAUCUGCUUGAAAGGUGCAAUUGCAUCACUACCAGAUGGACCUGCGUUGUAUUAGCUAGUUGGUGAGGUAACGGCUCACCAAGGCGACGAUACAUAGCCGACCUGAGAGGGGGAUCGGCCACACUGGGACUGAGACACGGCCCAGACUCCUACGGGAGGCAGCAGUAGGGAAUCUUCGGCAAUGGACGGAAGUCUGACCGAGCAACGCCGCGUGAGGGAAGAAGGGUGUCGGAUCGUAAAGCUCUGUUGUAAGAGAAGAACGAGUGUGAGAGUGGAAAGUUCACACUGUGACGGUAUCUUAACAGAAAGGGACGGCUAACUACGUG